CUGGAGGACAAAUACUUCAGCAGACACCAUGAAGUCCUGGAGAGUCUCCACAAAAACCGUGAGUGUUUCUCCCGUGUAUAGUCAAGGAAGUGGAUAACCCAGUAUUCCAAGAAAUCCCAAGGUAGAGCCUUCACCUCAAGGAGGAGGCCACGUCUGAAGGCACAGAAGAGAAAGUGCUGCUUUCUGGCUUCCCUUUAAACUUGGAAGCUUUGUGGACUUGAGGGCAAGUGAUGAAAUCGCCCCAGCUUGGACUCCAGGAAGAUCCAAAUGAGCACUUCCAAGUAGGAUGUGGAGGGUGACUUCUUUUGCCUUCAGGACUGUCCCACUUGCUGUCCCGCUUAGCUGAAAGAACUAAGUCUCCUAAAUAAGUAUUUGUGGUUCACCAAAGUGAACAAAGUAUAUAUCCAAAUAUUGAUUCAGAAUCCAAAAGACCUCUGCCUCUCUGGAUUGAAUAACUUUCCUUCUUUUUCCUCUUUCCUUUACAUUUUAUACCCGGACAAAGCAGUGUGGGGACCUUCAGUGUGCACUGAUGAUGAAUCAGCCUUGGAACCUGGUGUGUUAAGCUUGACUCCAAAUGUAUAAGU
rnacentral:lncRNA from 1 species